rnacentral:lncRNA from 1 species
GCAUACUUACAAAAGAGUAACAUUAUGCCCUGUGAAACAACCGUUGUGCUCUAAAAACUUAAGCUUAAGCUAUUAGAGAACGGUGUUUAAACACUUUUAUAUUUAACACUUCCUCUCACGUCUGGGCUCGAGACUUUUUAGUCGGCCCAUGACGUGGGGCUUGAAUUAAAUGAGAGAAAAUUAAUAUGCUAGGAGCCUGGCGUGAUUUGAACUCAGGACAACCUGCUCUGAUACCAUGUGAAACAACUGUUGUACUCUAAAAACUUAAGCUUAAACUAUUAGAGAACGGUGUUUAAACACUUUUAUAUUUAACAUGCCCAUUUUUGAAAGUACGUAGCUGUGUAAUCUGGUUGGUGGAAAUUCUAUUAUCAAAAAAUCUAUACAAAGUAGGAGAUGGUGGACUCCACAGAGUCCAAAGGAGCCCAUCGCUUAAGCGCGCGUUUGGUUUGCGUUAUCUUUUUAAGAUUCCUAGUAAUCCGAUAGGAAUAAAAAAAUAUGACGGUGUUUGGCUAAACGCACUACGUAAUCUAGUUGGUAAUAUUAGAUUUACUUGGGAAUGAGAUUCAUCCCAAAGUACUAAUCUCAUCCCCUUGAGAGAGGGUGGGUAUCCUCAAAUUAAUUGAUUGGGAUAAUCAUAAUAUGUCUAAUAUCUUUCUUUCUCCCUACCCGCCGGCUAGUUGGUUUUAUUUUUCUUUACACUCUAACCUCAUAUCUCUCUCUAAAAUUUUUUUUUUCUCUCUAAACUUCAACUCUUUUUCUCUCUCUAAACUAAGCUCUCCCCUCCCUCCUCUUUUUCUAAAAUCUCAACUCUCUCACUACCUCUAAUCUCGAUUCUAUUUCUCUUUCUAUUUCAUUAAUUAUGCUCUCUCUCUCUAACCUAUGUUCUCUCUCUUCCUUUUUUCUAAAAAAAUGUUGAAAUUUUUGGUGCAUUAUCUAAAAUUAAUUAAAGAAAAUAAAUAAAUUAAUUGUAUAUUUUUUGUAAACUUAAAUAACAUGACUAAAUAAUAUAACCGGGCGAACCAAACACAGGAAUGCCACAUUCUUAGUAAUAGGAUGAAUAGGAAUAAGAUUCUCGGACAUCUUUUUAUUGCUAGUAAUCUUUCAUAGUGCGAACCAAACGCACCCUAAGAGUAAUAUUAUGCCCACUUUCUAUAGUACAUAGAAGCAUAUUCUGGAUUGUGGAAAUUUUAUUAUCAAGAGGUCUAGCCAAAUUACGAGAUGGACUCUACACACCGUCCAAAAGAGCUAAUGGCUCAACAUGCAUUCUAUAUGGUGGGAGUAGGCACUAGGCAAAGUAAUAUUCUAUACCAGAAAUCACACGUAGAAACAUCGUAUUUUGCUCAAUUUUGGACUAGGUCAAAUCUUUUUCUUUACAAGGUAUUGCCAUGCGAAAGAGUUAGCACUUCUUGUUCCUUUUUGAGUUCACAUGCUUUCUUAGUUGUUUAUCCUUGCUUAGCAGUUUGUUACUUGCGAAACAUUUGUCUCA